GCCACGGGAUAGGCAGAGAUCAAAGGAAUGGAAAUUACCCAGCGCCUGUGAAGUAAUUUACAUCUUGGUGUCUUCAGGCACCUAUUAUUGUAAUGGAUAAUGUAGGAACCGGCUUCCUACAACUCAGGUUUCAUUACAAAUGCUAGCUCGUCUCAGAAUCCCUUAAUUCUUUCUGAAUAGACUAUUUCAGCCCUUCUCGUCUAUGCAACAGUGAACACAAUUUAUUAAUCUUUAAAAUGUUAGCUCCACAAGAUCAGGAACCUAGUCUACCUCAAGUUCCAUAUGCCAGCCCCUUGCCCACAUAGUGCAGCUAAAUGGGACCUUAAGUCCCGAGUCAUAAGUGUCACAUUCUCGUGAAGCAAGAGUACCAGAAUUAAUAUUGAUCAGAUGCACCUAUUUCAGUUCAAGUGUUCGAGGAAUGUCAUUUGGUACUGACAUUUAUGUUGUACUGCAAUAAGAAGCCGCCAUAGAGGAAGAGCAUUCCAGGCAAAGAGUUUCUGAAAUGGGGAAUUGAGCAGCUCAGGAUUUAUGAAGUAUAAUUGCUUACAUCCAUAUCAAAUUCAGCAGAGGAAACUUGCUACACACUCCCUCUGUCUCCCACCAGGCCUCUCAGAGAUCUCUGAAGAAAGUCACUGAUUGAAAACUUACAUUCCGUGUGAUGAAUGUUCACUGUGAUGUGGGCUUUGUCACCUCUAACCAGAGUGAGGCAAACAACUGUUUCCUAAGUUGGCAUGGAAGAGUUUUUAAACGACAGUGAUUUUCAAUUACUUUUGUCACAAGUUGAACGAGAACCAGUGACCUAAAGGUGAACAAAUUCUCCGAACAGCAGGGUUUCUCUCUUAGAACGAACCAAUUUUCCUGGUUCUAAAAUGGCGAUUUUUAUUUCACUCAGUUACACUCUUCCUUAUGCCUUUAUAUUAUCUGUGGCGGGUGUUUUGUGUCAGAACUAUCCAGUACCUUUGGAUUUUCCCUUGAAAUUUCUGCAAACAUUUUAACCACAAAAUACUGUGAGAGUGGAUGGAGAGUUGAGCUUCCCACUACGGAGUUACCCUGAGAGGGGGGCACACUGAUGGCUCAGACUGAUAGCUGGUGGUGCAGUCACCCUUCAUCCCAGACACUGCUCACAAGUGCCUCCUUGCCUUUGUGUAAGAUCUUCAGAAAGCCUAUGGGGAAAAAUGCAGGCAUAGAAAGCCUGCAUAAGAUACUGUACUUAAGAGAGGUCUGUGUUUGAACACAGAUAGAAUUUUUGUCCAGCUGAUGGUCUUCAGAACUAUUUUAUGCUGGCUUCCAUGGGAAAGGGGGAACUUUAUGCUGGCUUCCAUGGGAAAGGGGGAAUGUAGAAGGCAAUAUUGAGUGUUUUUUAAUCAUUUAAAUGAGAAUUUUAUUAAGCAUAAUUUUUAAGCACAGCUUACCUAGUAACAUUUGGGUGAUGCUCCCAUCUCUGGAAAAUCAUCCUGGAAGAAUGACACCUAUGAAAUGGGCUCAAUUCAAUGGGGAGAAUUUAUCAUGAGGAAGUUAAGACACAGAGCCCACAGGUGAAAGCUCAAUAUAGGGAACUUGGUACAGGAAUAAAAACAAACCCUGCAAACUGCUGACUUCCAAUGCGACAAUUCAAAUGAUUUCUUAGCUUGAUUUCUGUUUGGUUUUCCUGUCAUAAAACAUUGCCUAGUGGCAACUGGUAGAGGAAAGGGUUUAUUUCACUUGACAGUUAUAGUCCAUCAUGAAGGAAAGUUGAAAUAGGAAUGAACUCAAGGAAGGAACCUCAAGGCACAAACUGAAGCAGAGACCAUGGAGGAAUGCUGCUUCUUGGGCUGCUCUCCAAGGUUUGCUCACUUUGCUUUCUUGGAUAUCACAACAACUACAGCUCCAGGAUGAUACUUUUUACAGUGGGCUGGGACCCCCUACUACAUCAAUAAUUAAUCAAGAAAAUGCCAUCUUCUAGAGCAGUGGUUUUCAACCUUCCUAAUGUUGCAGCUCUUUAAUACAGUUCCUCGUGUCGUGGUGACCCCCAACCAUGCAAUUAUUUUCAUCAAUACUUCAUAACUGUAAUUUUGCUACAGUGAUGAAUCUUAAUGUAAAUAAUGGUGGAGAUAGAGGUUUGUCAAAAGAAGUUUGUGAAGAACCACUGUGCUUAAGGCAUUUUCUCAGUUGAGGUUCACUCUUCUAAUUACAUCUAGAUUUGUAUCAGUUUGACAAGAACCAAAUGGACACCAUUCUCCAAGAGGUCCAAGCAUAUCCUAAUAUCCAGAGCCUGUGGAGAUUCCCUUAUUUAUUUUAAAAUAACAAGUGGGUGUCACCAAGGGGAUGACAUCACUGAUGAUAAGGAGCCUUAGGUGACCAUACAGAAGAGCACAGAGAAGAUGCAGCAAUGUGACCGAUGGUAGUGAUUGCAAUUGCAGUGAUGCAUGCACAGAUCAAAAAUCCAGAAGGAGUGAAGAGUAACUUCUCCCCUGAAGCCUCCAGUGAAGAAGAGCACUGACAACAUUUUGAGUUCAGACUUUGGGCCAGAACUGCAAAAAAAUAAGUUUCGGUUGCUUCAAGCCACCUAAGGUAUGGCAAAGUUAUUUUGGUAGACUGUAAACUAACACAUCUCUUGAUGUCAGUCUUUAAAAUGAGUUUCAGUUACUUGCAAGACCACCAACCCAAACAACUCAUUAAUUUAGGAGAGCCAGGGGUGUCCUACCUUGGCUGUAUACUGUAUAUUUUUCUUUCUUUGUUUUGUUGCUCAGUGCUUAAGAACAAACCAAAGGCUUCACUAUACUAAGCAAAGAGUCUCUCACUAAGCAAUACUUCAGCAAAAACAUUGUAUUUCAUGCUACAUUAUUUAAUGCAAAAAAAAGAGACCUGAGUUAACUUUAAAAAGCAAUGUUUUGACUGUAUGCUAGAUAAAAACAAAAAGAACUGUAAAUAAAACUGUGCUGGAAUUGGUA